GUGUGCACACGCGUGGGUGUGGGCUGCGCGCAUGUGUAGGCGCGUGCGCUGUGCACGCAUUGAGAGCGCGGGUGCGUGCGCGCGUGGGUGUGUGGGCAUGUGCGUCAGUGCGGGAUGUGUGCGCGCAGGAGUGUCGGGUGGGUGCGUGCGUGCGCACCGCCGCGGCCACAGAGGAUACCGCAGAACGUUGUCGACUGAAUCGAAAUCAGGGUCUGGGAUGUCGUUUUGUCUACUUUUCUGACUUUUUUCCCCGCAAAAUAUAAAGUUAAAAAUAAAGUAAAUGAAUAUUUGUCGUACUUUGCAAAUUACCCAAAAGUCCUGGAAGUAGUUGGAGGCAUGUUACGUCUUCACGGAACCAGCUCCCUCAAGUCACGCCACCCCCCCACCCCUUACAGCUGGGGCCGCAGGCGUGGGAGGCGUCGCGCGGAGGGUCACCGGCUGCGGUCACCUCCCUGCGGCCCUCCGCCUCCUGGGCUCCGCUGCUGGCCUCCUGGUGGGCGUGGGUGGCCUGGACGGGACAGAGCGUGAGCCACGGAGGGUCCCAGAGCUCAGAGGUCGGACCCCCAGCCCCGCCGCCAGCGUGGAACCUCGCUGUGGGGGCGCAGGGCAGGCCUCCGCUCCCCGGGCUGACUGGGGGACAGCCCGUCAGUCUGCAGGGUCUGGGGGCACGGUUCCCGCGGGUGAAUACAGCACCAGGACCACAGUGCAGGGGUGCAGCCAGCCCCCUUCCCUGCGCAGGGGGCAGGAAAUCUGCGGGGUGCUGGGCUCCCAGUUACAAGUGAGCAGGAGCAGGCUGGGACCCUCUCUUAGGGUGGCCCUGGGGGGCACGUGAGCGGGAAGUCCCAGAAGGAAGGCGCAGCGGCCCCAGAGGCAGCUGGGUGGCAGGCUCACGGACAGACCGCAGAGGCUGCACUGCUGGGGCCCCUCCUCCCUCCGGCUCCCCCUGUGCUGUGACCGCCGCUUCCGCUUCCGCUUCCGGAGUCGGAAGCUGGACCAGGGGUCUGUGAGACACACCCUCCCAGACCUUGGGAGGCUCAACCCUGGGAAGUUCAGGGCCCCUGAGGCUGACCCAGGAACGGGCACUUCUGCCUUUCCCGGGGAUGCUUUUAGAUCACAAAGCCCAGGUGAGAGCCUGUGGGUGCUUCAGAGUAAGGAGCAAACAGCCCCGCAAACACAUCACUGGGACGCCCCGUCCCCGGGACAGCCAGCCCGCUCUGCACAGCCGGUCUCCCCAGUGAGCACCUGCCCCUGCCCCUGCCCCAGACCCCUCCUUGUUUACAGCUCAGCCCCAGCCCAGGGUUCCCCAGGGCUGCGGCACCCCUCCCUGGGCCCAGGGCCCGGCCGCGGACUCAUGGGGGUUCCGUCCCUGUCGCCCCCAGGGACCGGAGGCGGGUGAAGCGACGAUGGCCCGAGGCUGCCUGGGCUCUCACGGUUGGCCAGAUGAAGGGGUCCCGCGGCUGUCCCCAGAUGGGUGCAUCCAGGGAGGUGGCCGGACAGGCACCUGGGCCUCCGUCCCCAGCUUCGCUUGCCCAGGGGCCACGGGAGCCCCGCAGCCACGCUCCGUGGUCUUCGUGGCAGGAGGUGCCAGGCCGUUCCGGUGAACAGGGGACAGGGGACACGUAAAUCACAGGACACGUGUCCAUCCGCUGCUUGUGUCAUCGGUCAGGCUUCCAGGCAGCAGGACACUGCGAGGAGGGAAGUUUCCAGAAGCCAAAAGUUGCGCGCGGGAUCUCUACUGCAGGGUCUGUGCACAAGGGCCGAGGGUCACCUGGAUAAGUGUGCACGUGCGUGAGUGACACACGCACCCUCACUGCCUCACUGCCUGAAAUGAUACUGUCUGUGCACGAUUUUUAUUUUCCUUUUAUUAAAUUAAAGAAAUUUUAAACUGAAUGUACAAUUUCACUCAUUUCAUUUUGUUCACCUUCUAUUAAAUUUUUCUUUCCGAUGCCAUGUUUGAUGUGGAACACGAGAAGUAUUCAGUGCGUUGGGAGUACCUUCCGUGAUUAUAGCGAAUUUCCCGAAUGUGGCUCAUCCCCGCGGUGUCCAUUUUCCCGAAAUAAAUGUAUUUGUACGUA